rnacentral:rRNA from 1 species
UACGUAGGGUGCGAGCGUUAAUCGGAAUUACUGGGCGUAAAGCGUGCGCAGGCGGUUUUGUAAGCCAGAUGUGAAAGCCCCGGGCUUAACCUGGGAAUGGCAUUUGGGACUGCAAGGCUGGAGUUUGGCAGAGGAGACUGGAAUUCCUGGUGUAGCAGUGAAAUGCGUAGAUAUCGGGAGGAACACCAGUGGCGAAGGCGACUACCUGGCCUGUUCUUGACGCUGAGGCGCGAAAGCUAGGGGAGCAAACGGG